rnacentral:rRNA from 1 species
UGGGGAAUAUUGCGCAAUGGGGGAAACCCUGACGCAGCGACGCCGUGUGAGGGAAGAAGGCUUUCGGGUCGUAAACCUCUGUCAGGAAGGAAGAACCUCCCAAGGCUGAACAAGCCUUGGGACUGACGGUACUUCCAGAGGAAGCACCGGCUAACUCCGUGCCAGCAGCCGCGGUAAUACGGAGGGUGCAAGCGUUAAUCGGAAUCACUGGGCGUAAAGCGCGCGUAGGCCGUCUUUUAAGUCGGACGUGAAAGCCCUCGGCUCAACCGGGGAACUGCGUUCGAUACUGGGAGACUUGCGUCCUGGAGAGGGUGGCGGAAUUCCGGGUGUAGGAGUGAAAUCCUUAGAUAUCCGGAGGCACACCGGUGUCGAAGGCUGCCACCUGGACCGGUACUUACGCUGACUCGCGAAAGCGUGGGGAGCAAACA